GUUCGAGCGUCAUUUCAACCCUCAAGCACAGCUUGGUCUUGGGCUUCGCCGCUAACCCGGCGGGUCUUAAAAUCAGUGGCGGUGCGUCGGGCCCUGAGCGCAGUAAUCUCUCUCGCUAUAGGUCCCGGCGGAUGCUGGCCAGUAACCCCCAAUUUUCUAUGGUUGACCUCGGAUCAGGUAGGGAUACCCGCUGAACUUAA
rnacentral:misc_RNA from 1 species